AGUUGGUCCAAGUGCAGUGGUGUAUACAAUUAAUUGAUCAUAACAAGUUAGAGAUUCCUUUGUUCCUUCUCCACUGCCACCGCUUCACUUGACUAGCCUUAA
rnacentral:Y_RNA from 1 species